GCAAGACACGGACAAGCUUUUUAUCCAGGUUCGGCCGCCGAGUUGGCGUAAUACCUACGUCCUGCGUCUGGUUGUAUUGAUUUGUGCUGAGAGAAUAUCUCCUGUCCUAGGGGGGUCCCUUGCCCCUCCUUAUAUAGUCUGGAGGGCAGGGUUACAGAUCUAGAAACUAAUCCUAGUCGGUUACAAUUGCCAUAGAUAAUUCGAUAUCAAUUCCUAUUCUAACCGACUAGAAUCCUGCAUGAUCUCCACGUCUUGUUUCCUUGCGCGAAACUCGGGCUGUCGGAUCAAGCCUUGAACUCGUCUCG
rnacentral:lncRNA from 1 species